rnacentral:rRNA from 1 species
AUUGAACGCUGGCGGCAGGCUUAACACAUGCAAGUCGAGCGGGGGGAGGUAGCUUGCUACCUAACCAAGCGGCGGACGGGUGAGUAAUGCUUAGGAAUCUGCCUAUUAGUGGGGGACAACAUUCCGAAAGGAAUGCUAAUACCGCAUACGCCCUACGGGGGAAAGCAGGGGAUCUUCGGACCUUGCGCUAAUAGAUGAGCCUAAGUCGGAUUAGCUAGUUGGUGGGGUAAAGGCCUACCAAGGCGACGAUCUGUAGCGGGUCUGAGAGGAUGAUCCGCCACACUGGGACUGAGACACGGCCCAGACUCCUACGGGAGGCAGCAGUGGGGAAUAUUGGACAAUGGGCGGAAGCCUGAUCCAGCCAUGCCGCGUGUGUGAAGAAGGCCUUUUGGUUGUAAAGCACUUUAAGCGAGGAGGAGGCUACCUGGAUUAAUACUCUAGGAUAGUGGACGUUACUCGCAGAAUAAGCACCGGCUAACUCUGUGCCAGCAGCCGCAGUAAGAC